GAUGAAGAACGCAGCGAAAUGCGAUACGUAAUGUGAAUUGCAGAAUUCAGUGAAUCAUCGAAUCUUUGAACGCAUAUUGCGCUCUUUGGUAUUCCGAAGAGCAUGCUUGUUUGAGUAUCAGUAAACACCUCAACCUCUUCUUGAUUUUUCAAAAGGAGGGUGGACUUGAGCUAUCCCAACAACCUUUACCGGUCGGCGGGCGGCUUGAAAUGCAGGUGCAGCUGGACUUUUAUCUGAGCUAAAAGCAUAUCUAUUUAGUCCUCGUCAAACAGGAUUAUUACUUUUGCUGCAGCUAACAUAAAGGAUAAUUGUCCUCUUUGCUGACUGAUGCAGGAUUUUACGACACUUUAUGUGUUGUUCAACUCGAUCUCAAAUCAAGUAAGACUACCCGCUGAACUUAAGCAUAUCAAUAGGCGGAGGA
rnacentral:misc_RNA from 1 species